rnacentral:rRNA from 1 species
UACGAAGGGGGCUAGCGUUGUUCGGAAUUACUGGGCGUAAAGCGCGCGCAGGCGGUUCUUCAAGUCAGUGGUGAAAGCCCGGAGCUCAACUUCGGAACUGCCAUUGAAACUGUAGAACUUGAGGAUGAGAGAGGUGAGUGGAAUUCCCAGUGUAGAGGUGAAAUUCGUAGAUAUUGGGAAGAACACCAGUGGCGAAGGCGGCUCACUGGCUCAUUUCUGACGCUCAGGCGCGACAGCGUGGGGAUCAAACAGG